rnacentral:rRNA from 1 species
GACGAACGCUGGCGGCGUGCUUAACACAUGCAAGUCGAACGGAAAGGCCCUGCUUUUGUGGGGUGCUCGAGUGGCAAACGGGUGAGUAACACGUGAGUAACCUGCCCUUGACUUUGGGAUAACUUCAGGAAACUGGGGCUAAUACCGGAUAGGAGCUCCUGCUGCAUGGUGGGGGUUGGAAAGUUUCGGCGGUUGGGGAUGGACUCGCGGCUUAUCAGCUUGUUGGUGGGGUAGUGGCUUACCAAGGCUUUGACGGGUAGCCGGCCUGAGAGGGUGACCGGCCACAUUGGGACUGAGAUACGGCCCAGACUCCUACGGGAGGCAGCAGUGGGGAAUAUUGCACAAUGGGCGGAAGCCUGAUGCAGCAACGCCGCGUGCGGGAUGACGGCCUUCGGGUUGUAAACCGCUUUCGCCUGUGACGAAGCGUGAGUGACGGUAAUGGGUAAAGAAGCACCGGCUAACUACGUGCCAGCAGCCGCGGUGAUACGUAGGGUGCGAGCGUUGUCCGGAUUUAUUGGGCGUAAAGGGCUCGUAGGUGGUUGAUCGCGUCGGAAGUGUAAUCUUGGGGCUUAACCCUGAGCGUGCUUUCGAUACGGGUUGACUUGAGGAAGGUAGGGGAGAAUGGAAUUCCUGGUGGAGCGGUGGAAUGCGCAGAUAUCAGGAGGAACACCAGUGGCGAAGGCGGUUCUCUGGGCCUUUCCUGACGCUGAGGAGCGAAAGCGUGGGGAGCGAACAGGCUUAGAUACCCUGGUAGUCCACGCUGUAAACGGUGGGUACUAGGUGUGGGGUCCAUUCCACGGGUUCCGUGCCGUAGCUAACGCUUUAAGUACCCCGCCUGGGGAGUACGGCCGCAAGGCUAAAACUCAAAGGAAUUGACGGGGCCCCGCACAAGCGGCGGAGCAUGCGGAUUAAUUCGAUGCAACGCGUAGAACCUUACCUGGGUUUGACAUGGAUCGGGAGCGCUCAGAGAUGGGUGUGCCUCUUUUGGGGUCGGUUCACAGGUGGUGCAUGGCUGUCGUCAGCUCGUGUCGUGAGAUGUUGGGUUAAGUCCCGCAACGAGCGCAACCCUUGUUCACUGUUGCCAGCACGUUAUGGUGGGGACUCAGUGGAGACCGCCGGGGUCAACUCGGAGGAAGGUGGGGAUGACGUCAAGUCAUCAUGCCCCUUAUGUCCAGGGCUUCACGCAUGCUACAAUGGCUGGUACAGAGAGUGGCGAGCCUGUGAGGGUGAGCGAAUCUCGGAAAGCCGGUCUCAGUUCGGAUUGGGGUCUGCAACUCGACCUCAUGAAGUCGGAGUCGCUAGUAAUCGCAGAUCAGCAACGCUGCGGUGAAUACGUUCCCGGGGCU